AUUGAACGCUGGCGGCAGGCUUAACACAUGCAAGUCGAGCGGGGGAGGUUGCUUCGGUAACUGACCUAGCGGCGGACGGGUGAGUAAUGCUUAGGAAUCUGCCUAUUAGUGGGGGACAACAUUCCGAAAGGAGUGCUAAUACCGCAUACGCCCUACGGGGGAAAGCAGGGGAUCUUCGGACCUUGCGCUAAUAGAUGAGCCUAAGUCGGAUUAGCUAGUUGGUGGGGUAAAGGCCUGCCAAGGCGACGAUCUGUAGCGGGUCUGAGAGGAUGAUCAGCCACACUGGGACUGAGACGCGGCCCAGACUCCUACGGGAGGCAGCAGUGGGGAAUAUUGGACAAUGGGCGGAAGCCUGAUCCAGCCAUGCCGCGUGUGUGAAGAAGGCCUUUUGGUUGUAAAGCACUUUAAGCGAGGAGGAGGCUCUUAAGGUUAAUACCCUUGAUGAGUGGACGUUACUCGCAGAAUAAGCACCGGCUAACUCUGUGCCAGCCGCCGCAGUAAGAC
rnacentral:rRNA from 1 species